rnacentral:rRNA from 1 species
AAUCUGGCGUCCUCAGGGCGUCCGAGUUGUAAUCUAUAGAGGCGUUUUCCGUGCCGGACCGUGUCCAAGUUCCUUGGAACAGGAUAUCAAAGAGGGUGACAAUCCCGUACUUGACACGACGACCGGUGCUCUGUGAUACGUCUUCUACGAGUCGAGUUGUUUGGGAAUGCAGCUCAAAAUGGGUGGUGAGUUCCAUCUAAAGCUAAAUAUUGGCGAGAGACCGAUAGCGAACAAGUACCGUGAGGGAAAGAUGAAAAGCACUUUGGAAAGAGAGUUAAACAGUACGUGAAAUUGUUGAAAGGGAAACGAUUGAAGUCAGUCGUGACCGAGAGGCUCAGCCGGUUCUGCCGGUGUAUUCCCCUCGGUCGGGUCAACAUCAGUUUUGUCCGGUGGAUAAGGGCGGUAGGAAGGUGGCACCCUCGGGUGUGUUAUAGCCUGCCGUCGCAUACAUCGGGUGAGACUGAGGAACGCAGCUCGCCUUUAUGGCCGGGGUUCGCCCACGUCCGAGCUUAGGAUGUUGACAUAAUGGCUUUAAACGACCCGUCU